rnacentral:pre_miRNA from 1 species
UCUUAGGUUGGUGCAAAAGUAAUCGUGGUUUUUGCCAUUGAAAGUAAUGGUAAAAACUGCGACUACUUUUGCACCAACCUAAUA